CCUACGGGGGGCUGCAGUGGGGAAUAUUGCACAAUGGGCGCAAGCCUGAUGCAGCCAUGCCGCGUGUGUGAAGAAGGCCUUCGGGUUGUAAAGCACUUUCAGCGGGGAGGAAGGCGUUAAGGUUAAUAACCUUGGCGAUUGACGUUACCCACAGAAGAAGCACCGGCUAACUCCGUGCCAGCAGCCGCGGUAAUACGGAGGGUGCAAGCGUUAAUCGGAAUUACUGGGCGUAAAGCGCACGCAGGCGGUCUGUCAAGUCGGAUGUGAAAUCCCCGGGCUCAACCUGGGAACUGCAUUCGAAACUGGCAGGCUAGAGUCUUGUAGAGGGGGGUAGAAUUCCAGGUGUAGCGGUGAAAUGCGUAGAGAUCUGGAGGAAUACCGGUGGCGAAGGCGGCCCCCUGGACAAAGACUGACGCUCAGGUGCGAAAGCGUGGGGAGCAAACAGGAUUAGAUACCCUUGUAGUC
rnacentral:rRNA from 1 species